rnacentral:misc_RNA from 1 species
UGGAAGCAUAGUCAGGUUACCAG